rnacentral:lncRNA from 1 species
AAAUAGCUUUCUUUACUUUUUUGAGAGCAUCACUAAAUGUAGUACACUUGAUUUUCAAAUACAGCAAAAGGCACACAGAAAAAACAGGCUGUGA